GGACAGAUGGCCGAGCGGUCUAAGGCGCUACGUUCAGGUAACAGGUAUCCUCUUCCAGGAUACCACCACCGACUUCGUAGUCUCGCAAGAGGCGUGGGUUCGAAUCCCACUCUGUUCA